rnacentral:rRNA from 2 species
GGGUUGUGAGGUUAAGCGACUAAGCGUACACGGUGGAUGCCCUGGCAGUCAGAGGCGAUGAAGGACGUGCUAAUCUGCGAUAAGCGCCGGUAAGGUGAUAUGAACCGUUAUAACCGGCGAUUUCCGAAUGGGGAAACCCAGUGUGACUCGUCACACUAUCAUUAACUGAAUCCAUAGGUUAAUGAGGCGAACCGGGGGAACUGAAACAUCUAAGUACCCCGAGGAAAAGAAAUCAACCGAGAUUCCCCCAGUAGCGGCGAGCGAACGGGGAGGAGCCCAGAGCCUGAAUCAGCAUGUGUGUUAGUGGAAGCGUCUGGAAAGGCGCGCGAUACAGGGUGACAGCCCCGUACACAAAAGCGCAUGUGCUGUGAGCUCGAUGAGUAGGGCGGGACACGUGGUAUCCUGUCUGAAUAUGGGGGGACCAUCCUCCAAGGCUAAAUACUCCUGACUGACCGAUAGUGAACCAGUACCGUGAGGGAAAGGCGAAAAGAACCCCGGCGAGGGGAGUGAAAAAGAACCUGAAACCGUGUACGUACAAGCAGUGGGAGCCCCACCACCAAAGCAUUCUCUGGUGUUGAAGGCCCUGCAAAGCAGCAUCGCGGUGGCGGAGCGUCGUUUGCGACGCCCAACACACAAAACAAGCGGUGAGUGCUUUGGGGUGGGGUGACUGCGUACCUUUUGUAUAAUGGGUCAGCGACUUAUAUUCUGUAGCAAGGUUAACCGAAUAGGGGAGCCGGAGGGAAACCGAGUCUUAAUUGGGCGUUAAGUUGCAGGGUAUAGACCCGAAACCCGGUGAUCUAGCCAUGGGCAGGUUGAAGGUUGGGUAACACUAACUGGAGGACCGAACCGACUAAUGUUGAAAAAUUAGCGGAUGACCUGUGGCUGGGGGUGAAAGGCCAAUCAAACCGGGAGAUAGCUGGUUCUCCCCGAAAGCUAUUUAGGUAGCGCCUCGUGAAUUCAUCUCCGGGGGUAGAGCACUGUUUCGGCUAGGGGGCCAUCCCGGCUUACCAACCCGAUGCAAACUGCGAAUACCGGAGAAUGUUAUCACGGGAGACACACGGCGGGUGCUAACGUCCGUCGUGAAGAGGGAAACAACCCAGACCGCCAGCUAAGGUCCCAAAGUCAUGGUUAAGUGGGAAACGAUGUGGGAAGGCCCAGACAGCCAGGAUGUUGGCUUAGAAGCAGCCAUCAUUUAAAGAAAGCGUAAUAGCUCACUGGUCGAGUCGGCCUGCGCGGAAGAUGUAACGGGGCUAAACCAUGCACCGAAGCUGCGGCAGCGA